CAUAAAACAAACAGGUUCUUUAGAAACUUAAAUACCUACACGUAUGACACACAAAACAAGUACAAAAACGAGGCUAAAACAAUAUUAUGAGGAAAGGCUGAGACCUACAGUAAAAUAUUACGGGUUAAGAGUAUUGCAAUAUAAAAUCUUUCGAUUCCCAGACAAACAAUAAAAAGAUUUCCCAAUGACAAUUUAUCUUGUGCUGUUGGCAGAUUCCAACUGCUGAACGUGGUGCAUGAGGCAACUUGUCUGCUCUGUAAACUGGAAAAACAAGGUUGAGGAAGUCAGACAUGGUCUCAAAGAGAGAGAAAAUAGAUCUCUUGAUAAUUAAAGUGGAUAUUUUAGUGAAAAAUGUGUGGUUAUGUCUCCAAAUGUGACGAAGACCAGACGAUGUCCGCUGACAUUUUGUUUAGCAACCGCAUAUCUGGCUGUGAGCCACCGUCAAAUAUGGAGUGCUGUCAUCAGAGUGAGGCUGUGCUCAUCCUUGGUUACGCAGAGUUGAUUUGUGGAGUUGCUUCUGUAACUCAAGACCAUAAAAAACACCAGCUAAUGCGUUACAAAUAUUUGUCUGGGAGAGGAACUAAAGCACUAAAAGUCGCGUAUUGCACAAGUAGUAGAUGUGUGGCUUUGUCAGUUCGCACCCAGACACAGGAUCCUAUUUGAUGAGAAAUUCAUUUAUUAUACUUUUUCGAAGAUAAGUUACAUUUCCACUGUCUGAAACAUUUUAAAAUAUCCUGCAUCACAAUGAUACAAGAGAUUAAUGACGGGUUGCGGAUAACUAUUAUUGAUCCGUCAAUAUUGUUUUCAAAAAUUCAUGUAGUCUAUUGCAUAUCAGAUAAUAGAGGCCACUUUGUCUUCUAAUUAACAGCUAAAAACUUAAAAUCAUCAAACUUAAUUAUUUGAAAGAAAGAACAGCACAUCCAGAUGCAGCACGCUCAGAGCCUGUUUGCUUGAAGAAAUGAUUUGAUCAAUAAUCAAAAUACUUUUCUUUCAAUCAACUCGUUGAUUCACAAACCUAUUGUUUUAGCUCUAGAUGAAUAUCAACUGAAACAACUUUGACCUCCAGUAAAAUACAAUAAACACGAUUCAAGCGGCUUCUGUAUGUCGAGAGCAGGCGGUAAUGAGAAUAUCUUCACUGUUCUGAAAGUCAGCCUCUGUCUUUAACGGGCUUUGUGUGACAUAACACAAGUAAUGAUGGCCAUGAAGAUGUUUUCCUUCGUGGGUGCAAUGUGGUACAUUCCAGGCACAAUUUUUACAGUUCACAAAUCAUGGCUGCAACUGGCGGUGGUGUGCUGGUCGGUGAGAGGACUGUAUUUAUUUUACUGACCGACCCACCACUGAGUUGGGCGCAUCCGGACAACUGGUCAGCCACGUGUGGAAGAGGUAUAACAGCUAGGCGUGCACAUCUUUAUGGCAGCAGCUCAUUUUACAUCUUCUGUUGCGUAACAGUACAAGACAACCGGCACACACACACACACACACACACACAGUCCAAACAACAAGCUCUUCACUCGUGACCUUAACCAGCAUGUUCACUCUGCCGCAUUUACCGAAGGUUCAGCCAACAAACAUGGGGCUUGUUUGAAAUACACACAAAGUGUCCCAACAUGUGUUUGAACUGCAUAUUAAAAACAACGUGGCUGUUCAAUAGUAUAUUUCUCCUUUCGCGGCUGCAUUUAUACAUCUGCAGCUCUCCUCGUGAUCUUGGGAGUACAGCCAAAUUGUAAGCAUGUAUGGCAUCCCACAAGCCUAUAAUUUCAACACAUCGACCUCCAAAUGAAACAUUUCAGGGCAAACUGACAGUAACUACCAGAGGAGUCUGCAGCAAAUGUAGCCUAGUGUAGAACAAUCAACAUACAACAUGUAUGAAUACAAAGAGCCUCCAUCUGGCUCAUAAAAGAACCCACACACACUCAAACUAAAGUGAUUAACGGGACAAUACGAGGGGACAGUGGUUCUGCAGUAGAGUCAACCAGCAGAGUACCGAGUGACCCUGUGGAGAAGGAGAAUCAUCACAGGGCGGCACGGCCAGGCUCCUAUCAGUGUACACUUUCAGCCGGGCCAGUAUUUUUAGCACCACAUUCCCAAUAGAGAAUCUAAUACACUCCAGCCGUACCGAUAGUGGCUCACAUUGGAAACAAGAAAAUGGCAGCCCUGGUGAGCGAGUGAGGAAUUUUAGAGCGGUAGCUGAGAGAGAACUUCUCUAUGUGUGAAAGCUUAGUUAGGCAAACAAAACUUUGACCAAAAUACAAACUUUUAAAAAAAGAAAUACGGUACUUUUUAGUUCUUCGGUUCAUGACAACAUAACACAACUCAAGCAAAACAAACAGGGUCCAUCCUAGAAUUUAAAUGUGACCCGUUUCGUUGAGAAAGCUGAACUGGGAGAUAUCACAAAGGUUACUAUGGUGACGAGGCCUGCACUCCACACAUCACCUAAUCUGAGCCAGACAAGACUGAAAACACAGCCAUGGUGCUCCGAGUCAACAAUUAAGCGUCAUUAGAGGGCCAGAUUUUUAUUGACCCAAGUCUUUCGCAGCCUGCACCUCUAAGACAGAUGAACGUUUAAGGAUCAUUAUAAAAGGAGCCGUGUGAUGGUUUCCCAUGAACCCAAAUAAAACAUCAAGAGCAACAAUUAAACCAUCCUGCUAACAAGACAAAGCCUAUUUGUAGAACACUUUUUAAACACUUGAUAAUCAAAGUGCCUUCCCUGCAUUCACACUAAAAGGUUUGCGAAUAUUCGCGACGCUUUUGGUGCAUCGAGUUGUCAUUAUUUUGACUGAUAUUGCAAUCGCAAUAUGAACUGUGAUAUCAGUUUUUUUAAUAUAAAAUAAAAGCGUUAAAAUAAUUAUGGUGGGGAUCUCUACGAAACAAAAGAUGAUUAUUUAAUUGUUGAUUGUGGCGGACCCCAGUGGACACCAUCGCUGAGCUCCAUCAUAAAGACCUACAGCUGCCAGACUCCCUUUAGAAAACCUCUUUUUACUGCAGGUCAGACAGUCCUCCACACUUAGUCCUGGUUUUCCAGUGCCUCCCCAGCAGACCCAGCCCGUAGCCGGCACGGAGCUCUACGCAUCCUACCAACGCGAAGUCUGAGCUGAAGGAGUUUCUGAUUUCUGGUUUUGUUUGCCGUUGCCGGGAAUGCAACCGGAUGACAGGUGCUUGUCGGCUGGUGAAUAUAAAGGGGUCGUCAGGAGCUGUAAAGGAGGGCUUAUUGUUACAUUCCUGAACUGACCACAGCAACAAACCAAUGCUCUCCCUUUCACACAGCCCAUAUUUUGUUUGAAAUAACAGUCAAUUAAUUAUAAAUUAUCAGACUUACUUUACUUUUUAGGGACAAAACGUUUUGUUCACAGUUCCUGCAAAUAGCCGAUAAGUGUUAACCUUUGUCCCUGCAUUGCAGUGACUGUCUACAACAGGGCUUGUUUGCCGGCUACGUCCCUUUAUCAAGUGGCAAUCACAAGCAAAACAAAAUAAAAUCUGGAUGCCAAUAUUGCAGUGGGGACUACAGCGUGUCACGAGUUUGUUUAGAGUAUUUCUAACCCCUACAAUAUGUAUUGGCACCGACUACUGUUUAUAAUAUUUAAUGUGUAUUCAGUGUAUAGAUAAUAUAUCACACUUAUUGAAUUAUUCAAUUUGAUCAAUGUUCCAUGUAUCGUGGCACAAUUAAAGAAUGUGUAAUGAUGAUUUGGUAUUAAUCUCCUCACACUCAAUAGAUUGAAAAUUGCUUGACAUUUGACAGAUUUGGACACAUUUUUCUAAUUAAAAAGGGCAGGUUUUUUUGCAGUU